rnacentral:rRNA from 1 species
UACGUAGGGUGCAAGCGUUAAUCGGAAUUACUGGGCGUAAAAAGCUCGUAGGCGGUUUGUCACGUCGGCUGUGAAACCCUGGGGCUCAACCCCAGGCCUGCAGCCGAUACGGGCUGACUAGAAUUCGGUAAGGGAGUCUGGAAUUCCUGGUGUAGCGGUGAAAUGCGCAGAUAUCAGGAGGAACACCGGUGGCGAAGGCGGGACUCUGGGCCGAUAUUGACGCUGAGGAGCGAAAGCGUGGGGAGCGAACAGG